rnacentral:ncRNA from 1 species
GACCGAUAGCGAAGUAGUACCGUGAGGGAAAGGUGAAAAGAACCCCCAGUGGGUAGUGAAAUAGAACGUGAAACCGUGCUGAGCUCCCAAGCAGUGGGAGGGGAAAGUGAUCUCUGACCGCGUGCCUGUUGAAGAAUGAGCCGGCGACUCAUCGGCAGUGGCUUGGUUAAGGGAACGGAACCCACCGGAGCCGUAGCGAAAGCGAGUCUUAA